rnacentral:rRNA from 8 species
UAAGUCAGAGGUGAAAGUCUGCAGCUCAACUGUAGAAUUGCCUUUGAUACUGGUUAUCUUGAAUUAUUAUGAAGUAGUUAGAAUAUGUAGUGUAGCGGUGAAAUGCAUAGAUAUUACAUAGAAUACCAAUUGCGAAGGCAGAUUACUAAUAAUCAAUUGACACUGAUGGACGAAAGCGUAGGUAGCGAACGGGAUUAGAUACCCCGGUAGUCUACGCCGUAAACGAUGGAUACUAGCUGUUGGGCUUCGGCUCAGUGGCUAAGCGAAAGUGAUAAGUAUCCCACCUGGGGAGUACGUUCGCAAGAAUGAAACUCAAAGGAAUUGACGGGGGCCCGCACAAGCGGUGGAGCAUGUGGUUUAAUUCGAUGAUACGCGAGGAACCUUACCAGGGCUUAAAUGUAGAUUGACAGGUUUAGAGAU